rnacentral:rRNA from 1 species
UACGUAGGGUGCGAGCGUUGUCCGGAAUUACUGGGCGUAAAGAGCUCGUAGGUGGUUUGUCGCGUUGUCCGUGAAAACUCACAACUCAAUUGUGGGCGUGCGGGCGAUACGGGCAGACUGGAGUACUGCAGGGGAGACUGGAAUUCCUGGUGUAGCGGUGGAAUGCGCAGAUAUCAGGAGGAACACCGGUGGCGAAGGCGGGUCUCUGGACUGUGAAC